rnacentral:misc_RNA from 1 species
UGUAUGGGUGUCGGAGCACCCUUGGCCAACAUCAAAGUGCAAAAGCCUUUAAGCCAAGAUUGGAGCUCAGCAAUUCACCUUGAUUCUGCUGGACUCGUCCCCAUUUCCAACUUUGAAACCUCAAAUUGCUAUUUGAAGUGUUCAACAACACAAGAACACAGCUAAUAACAAUGGGAUUGAGAUUCCUCUGCAAGUCCCAUCUAUUCUCCGCACUCUCUUCACGCCGUAAAACUCUCCACUCAACCCUUCUACUUCGAUCUCUUGAUUCUCACUUGCAGAACCCUUAUAAUACUUUUCCUGAAUUUCCAUUUUACAAUGUCUCUAGAAGGUGGCAUUUCGGCCAUUCUCAUGGUCACUCCGACAGCCAAAGCCACGGCCACCGAGCCUCCGGUGAGGAGGGUGAGAAAAUAUUCCGUUUGGGCCUCGCCGCUGAUAUUGGCUUGGCUGCUGGAAAAGCUUUGACAGGUUAUUUAUCAGGCAGUACUGCAAUUAUCGCCGAUGCCGCCCAUUCAGCCUCUGACGUGGUUCUUAGCGGGGUUGCUUUGUGGUCAUUCAAAGCUGGGAAUGCUCCUAGAGACAAAGAACAUCCAUAUGGUCAUGGAAAGUUUGAGUCUCUAGGAGCCCUUGGAAUUUCCUGCAUGCUUUUGGCAACUGCUGGUGGUAUUGCAUGGCAUGCUGUAGAUCUUCUUCUUGGAUUGUUGUUUGCAUCUCCUGAAGCAGUAAACCAUUCAUUGACUUAUGAACAUGUGCAUAGUCAUAGUCAUCGUCAUGGUGGACAUCAUCAUGGAAUUGACAUGGAUCAUCCCAUCCUUGCACUGAGCAUGACCAUUGUGUCAAUUUCUAUAAAAGAAGGGCUUUACUGGAUAACAAAACGAGCUGGGGAAAGGCAAGGGAGUGGACUUAUGAAAGCGAAUGCAUGGCAUCAUCGUGCAGAUGCCAUUUCAUCUGUUGUUGCACUUAUUGGGGUUGGGGGCUCCAUUCUUGGAGUUAAGUUUCUGGAUCCUCUUGCUGGACUUGUUGUCUCUGGCAUGAUAGUAAAAGCUGGACUGCAAACUGGGUAUCACAGUGUCUUGGAAUUGGUUGAUGCUGCAAUUCCAGCAGAACAUUUGGAUCCUAUAAAGCAAACAAUACUACAAGUUGAAGGUGUUAAGGGAUGCCAUCGCUUGAGAGGGAGGAGGGCUGGUUCAAAUUUACACCUUGAUGUACAUAUUGAGGUUGAUCCUUUUUCUAGUGUUAGUGCUGCCCAUGGAAUUGGUGAAAAGGUCCGUCAGGAAAUUCACAAGUCCUAUCCUGAGAUAGCUGAAGUUUUCAUACACAUAGGUAUGGCACUUGUUUUCACCAUCUUCUAAAAUUGACGUAAGAGAAGCUGUAACAUAAUUAGUUUCCAAGGUUCCUUAUUGAAGAUCAAAUUCAUUAUAUUAUAUUCACCAAUUGCAAUGCAUGGUUAUUCAUUAUCUUUUGCUUAAUCAUUCCACUUAAUAGACUUCAAGGAGCCGGUGAUGGCCAAUCAAAAAGAUGUAGAAGACUUGAUAGGAAAGGACUGAAUGAAAAUUGUCUAAUCUCUAAUGAGCAAAGGACCCAAUUCCAUAUAUGAAUUUAGAUGAUCUUACAUCGACUCUUUCAUCUUACCCUGUAAUUUCUUGUCUCCAGACUGACCUGGGCAGAUUGAGGUCAAACUCUAAGGUGGUACGGGCUCGAGAUUAAUAAAAUAUUAGUAUUUUGUAUAUUAUUUAUUAUAUUGGGCCAGAUCUGGCAAAGAUUUAGACCUGAAUAGUUAGGUUUGGCCAGUAUUGCAGCUUAAAUUCUCUGCUCAGCCUGGAGUUUGAACAGGCCUACUUCACAUAGAAGGCUAACUUAUCUUCCAUCGGAUUUUCAAGUUAUGACUAAUUCCACUAAUUGUAAUUCCCUUAUCAUUUUUAUAUCUGGAUAAGCAAAUUCUGGCUUGUCUUGCAUUGAAUUAACAGCUAGCUAUCAAUUUUUAUCUUAUUUGUGUUCAUCCCUUCAAUUAUUACUGACACACCAGUGAGUAAAUAGUUGUCUUUUUACUUUUUCCUAUAUGGAUGCAGAUCCUUCAUUUUUACACUUCUCUCCCAAUGUGAUGGGCUGGCAAGAUAAUGUAGAAGGUACUACGAAUAACAGAAAUGUUUCUUUGGAAGACAGAGACAUUGGAUUGAUUGUUUCCAACUUAUCAAGGUUCCCAG